ACAUAUCCGAGUACUCAAGCAGCUAAAAAUUUGAAGCGCGUAAAAUUUUCUUCAAUUUUUUCUAUAAUUUCAAGUGCUUCCGUAACUCGUCUUGAGUUAUCUGCGUGCUCAAUUACCCUGAUGAUAGAUGAUAGAGAAUUAAAGUAUAGGCAAGUAGUCUAUUCAGACAAUUAUUAAGAAGCACGCACCCGCUACUUUAGACUCACGUUUCAUUGAUGGUGAAAUGAAUCUAUCGAUUCUACAAUUAAAUACUACUUUAAUAACUUCGAGAUGGACAGGCGGUGAGAUUUCUCAGCGAGAUGACGAUGGACAGAAUUGGGCGGCCAGACGAUUCUCAGGGCUCGGUCCCGGCCCUACGAGGAAGGUGAUAACUUACUUCCGGUGUGUUCACGACGAACGACAGGUCUUUACUGACUGAUUCCAGACUGUCGGGUGGAACUUCCACCACUUAAACCACCAGUGAUCGCGUGUCUGGUAUACUAGCCGGCUCUUCUGAAACCGCGUGGGGUGCCCGAGCACGGGGGUGGCUUCUAGCUUCCUGAUGAUAGAAAUCAAGUUUCUAUCAUACGAGAAAACCCUUACUCGAAUAAUAUUUUAUCUUACGGCAUAACACAUCCAUGCCUAAAAAAACCUGAUCCAGUUUUUUUAUUUUUAAAAAAAAUUUGAUCGCUUGGAAUAUUCAGAAAAAAAAGAAACUAAGACAUGAUUACCAUAAAUUCCCGUCAAUAAGUACCUGAGCGCCAGUGCACUCGUAAUAAAUAACUUGCGGAUUGAUGGCUGUCGUCACGACAUUGAGGUCAACGGUACCGGCAUCACCAGGAUUCUUUCUCAUCACCAUCGUAAUCCCAGACCCUUCAUUUUAUUUAUCUUCUAUUUAUGUAUAUAUAUAUAUUAUAUUGUAUCAUGAUUUAUAACUAUUAAACUCACCAACGGACGAGACACGCGUGGAUUUUAUGAAGAAUCCUGGGUACUCGAGGAAAACGCGAAAUAGACGAUACUCGGGGGUGAUUUUUUUUUGCACGAUAUAAUUUAUAGCUAUUAGCCAUCAGUUGUGUGUAUAUAUAAAUACUUAACUUAUACAUAUAUUUGUGUACAUCAACUUAACAUAUUUAUUCGAGAUUUUUCUAUCUCAUUCACGUUGUAAGAUAUAAUGUUUUGUCAACGAUGACAUUUUAACCGUGCACGCAAAUAAUAUUUUACAGGGCCAAUGUCUUGGUGAUCCGUGAUAGAUAAAAGAUACGGCUUUGGGUUAUCAGACAAGGUGUUUUAUGUGUUUACUUAAUUCCUGUUUAUUCCGAUCAUCACUAUCGCAUUCUUAAGUAGCUCACUUUUAAAUCUGCUUUGUUUUUAUUUGUCAUUGCCGAUUAAAAUAUAUAUAUAUAUUUUUUUUUUUUAUUUAAAAUGAGAUGAGCUCAAGUGUGGCAGGGUGAACAAUCUUUGCGAUAUAUAAAUAUAUAAGUAUAUAAAACGAAACCAUUGGUAUGCUAAACCGGGUGGAUUAUUUCCCAUCAUGAAUCGCUGGUACCUGGCCCUACAUGGCACCCGCUAUGAAGCCUAAGAAAACGACUGUAAGACCAAUUCACUUAAAAAAAAACUUUUCUUAUCUACCAUAGCUAAAUUUUAUUAUUUCACUCUUUCUGAUCCUUUAAUCAGUUCGAAGUAAUUAGCAAGUUAUCAUUUAAUUAGCAUUUUAUCUCCAAGAUUCCGGGUUCCCAUCUUCCCUUUUUCUCUCGCUUGGC